UCUUGGUCCUUGACUGGUUUCGUUCCGAUAGUCGUGUUGAUCCUUGCGACCUCGUUACGGAUUCCAUGGAUCCGUCACCGCAGAACUCUUCCUCCGCCGCCGGUAAUGGCGGUCUCUCCACCUCCGCCUCGGCCACACCCAGCCCGGCCCCCAACCCGACUUCAGCCGUCGCCUCCGCCCCAGUGGACGAGGCGAAGCAGAACCUCAAUCAGGUUAUCAACUCCAUCGACAAGACCCUCGGUCUCCUCCACCAGCUCUACGUAACGGUAUCCUCCUUCAGCGUUGCCUCGCAACUUCCUCUCCUCCAAAGACUGAACGCCUUGGUAUCGGAGCUCGAUGCGAUGCAGAAGAUGGCGGACAAGUGUGACGUGCAGAUCCCUUUGGAGGUCGUCAAUUUGAUAGAUGAUGGGAAGAAUCCAGAUGAGUUCACUAAGGAUGUGAUAAAUAGUUGUGUUGCCAAAAACCAGAUGACCAAAGGAAAGACUGAUGCUUUUAAGAGUCUUCGAAAGCAUCUUCUUGAGGAACUUGAUCAUGCUUUCCCAGAUGAAGUAGACAUGUACAGGGAGAUCCGCUCUUCUGCUGCCCGAGUUAUAACUAGCCAGACACUGAAUCAUAUAACCAUACUGUGUCUGAAAUAAAUAAGAAGGAUGUAAAGCUUCAGAAAAUACUGCUCGUCAGCCAUGGAGUGCAUUAACUUGCAGUGAUGAGGAAUCGAGGAGGCCGGCACAGUCCCUGCAAACUUUACAGAAUGGAGAUGUGAAACUAAAAUCAGAGUACUGAGGAAGUUAGAUAGUGCUUCGUUUCUGUGCAAAUAGAUUGCAACCUUGUACAAGGUUGUUUACCAGUACGCCAUAUGUAAUUACGAAACUAUCAUGCUUCCUACUAUUAUUUAGUUCUUGAGCUUCCUUGCUCAUCAAAUUUUAAGUCCAACGGAAGUUCUUAAUCUACUCUUUGAUUGGUCCUCUUGGUUCA